rnacentral:miRNA from 1 species
UGGUGAGACACGUCGUAACGAAU